UACGUAGGGCGCAAGCGUUAUCCGGAAUUAUUGGGCAUAAAGAGCUCGUAGGCGGUUUGUCGCGUCUGCCGUGAAAGUCCGGGGCUCAACUCCGGAUCUGCGGUGGGUACGGGCAGACUAGAGUGAUGUAGGGGAGACUGGAAUUCCUGGUGUAGCGGUGAAAUGCGCAGAUAUCAGGAGGAACACCGGUGGCGAAGGCGGGUCUCUGGGCCGUAACUGACGCUGAGGAGCGAAAGCAUGGGGAGCGAACAGG
rnacentral:rRNA from 1 species